UCUCCUUAACCCAUCUCACCUUUUCCUCCUUCUUAACCCAUCUCACCUUUCCUCCUCCUUCGCCCAUCUUAGAACGACCUAGGUUUUUCUCUAAGGUUUGGGAGCGCUCCGGCGCCAGCCUCCUGAAUUCACUCCAUUUCGGUUUGUAUUUCUCUUGUUUUCCCCUUUUUUCCUUGGUGUGUGUGUUGGGAUCCUAGGGUUUGGGUUUUGAUGCACUUGUUUGCCGGUGUGGUGGUUGGCGGAAGCUGUAGGAGCUGAUUUGGAAUUUUGGGGGUGAUUUCGUUUCUAGGUUUUGGAACAAACAAAUGAGUAGGGAAAACAAUGUUAUAGAGCCGAUCGGAUACAAUGCAAUGCUCUUCGUAUGAAGCAAAGCACGCAAAACAGCAAGCUGGCCAACUUGCAAAAUGCAUUUGAGUCUCCAAUAAUUGUUAUUUUAAAGAAGGAGCCAAAAAGGAGAAGUAAUCAAAAAGCAAGGAGGCAUGAUUCGAUGAUAUUUGGAUCCAGUCCACCAGCCAUUCAUUGGUUGCUAAUUUCUUUUUUAGCUUAGAUCUUGCUUGCUUUUGCAAAUCAAAAAUGGAAAUGAUAAGGUUAUUAUGGCAGGACUUGUUCUUAGUUAUCAUUCAUUGGCCUGACUUGAAUUGUCAGGGCAACCCUUGAAUUUUGAGUGCAAUUAGACCUAGGGUUUAAGCUUUUUCAGUAUUAGGACUUUUUAGUCACAUUUUUAUGUAAUAAUCAUGAGAAAGUGUUUAAGUUUUUGUUGUUUUUCUUUC